UAACAAAAUAUUCUAAAGCGGCAACAGCAAUGUUGCUAUAUAAACUUAAUAUUAUCUCCCUGAAAACAAAUAAUACUCCAGGUUCUUACUAAAUUAGAACGGGUUCCAAUUGAAUCCCUACAGAGUGUUGACAAAUUGAUAUGGUCUCAUGGUGUAUAAUCAUAUUAUAUCACACGACCAAGUACAGCAAACACCCUCCCAACAAAAUACUUUAAGAGUUUAUGAAGACUGAUGCUGACAUCAGAAAGACCGGAGUUCUUGAGGCUG